UGCGCGGAGCCCUGCGUGGCGCGGGCCGCGUGGGCGAGGUGCUGGCAGAGAGGCCACGCGGGCUCCCCCAGACCUGGGCACCGAGCUCACGGCUCAGCUCCCUGCCAGCCCGCGCCAAGGCAGAAGUCCGGGCCCCUCAUCAGCUUGUCCCAAGAGAGAGCGGCACAUCGGGUCCACUGGGGACCCCUCACAAGUGUUCCAAUGCCUCUCCAUCAGGGGGACUUCCCACAGCUGCGAGGGUUUCUGGUCGGCUGGUUCCUCUCGCCCAGCCUGUGGCGUGCCUUGGCCCCCACGGUUCCGUCUGCCCUGACCUCACUCAAAGGCGACUGUUCCACCGAGACAGGGCGUUGGCAGCCCUGACGGCUGAUGACAUCCGCAGAGCCCGUGAGGCCAGGCAGAAGAUCGGCUCUGAGGAGCCGACCCGGGCCCCGAGGCAGAAGCUGAGCGCCCGAGCCCGGGAGAGGACGGUGCCCACAUCGCGCGUCGGCCCGCCCCCCCCGCUCCGGGGG